rnacentral:rRNA from 1 species
ACGAAGGGGGCUAGCGUUGUUCGGAUUUACUGGGCGUAAAGCGCGUGUAGGCGGGUCGUUAAGUCAGGGGUGAAAUCCUGGAGCUCAACUCCAGAACUGCCUUUGAUACUGAAGAUCUUGAGUUCGGGAGAGGUGAGUGGAACUGCGAGUGUAGGGGUGAAAUUCGUAGAUAUUCGCAAGAACACCAGUGGCGAAGGCGGCUCACUGGCCCGAUACUGACGCUGAGGCACGAAAGCGUGGGGAGCAAACAGGA